UAAAGCUGCCAUGAGGCAAAGUCCGGGCUCCACCGGAAAAAAUGCCGGAUAAGAACCGGGCAGAAAUCGGCAGUUGCAUAAUUACUUGCAUAACCCGAAAUCUGACAGAAAGUGCAACAGAAAAUAACCGCAUUGAGAAAUCUUUGUAAGGGUGAAAAGGCGGGGUAAGAGCCCACCGGAUUUCUGGUAACAGAAAUCGCAGGAAAACCUCAUUUGGAGCAAGGUCAAGCAGCAGCUAAUCGUUCCGGGAUUUAUAGCUGCGGGUAGACCGCUAAAGAUUCAGGGUAAUCUGAAUUUCGGAUAGAUGGUUACGCGGAUUUUUUUAAUCCGUACCAGAACUCGGCUUACUGUCUCUUU
rnacentral:RNase_P_RNA from 1 species